GAGUUUGAUCCUGGCUCAGGAUGAACGCUGGCGGCGUGCCUAACACAUGCAAGUCGAGCGAGAAGCUUCUGAUUGAAUCUUCGGAGGAAAGAAGGAGCGGAAAGCGGCGGACGGGUGAGUAACGCGUAGGCAACCUGCCCCUUGCAGAGGGAUAGCCACUGGAAACGGUGAUUAAAACCUCAUAAAGCAGCACUUUCACAUGGGAGAGCUGCCAAAGAUUUAUCGGCGAGGGAUGGGCCUGCGUCUGAUUAGCUAGUUGGUGAGGUAACGGCUCACCAAGGCGACGAUCAGUAGCCGACCUGAGAGGGUGAUCGGCCACAUUGGAACUGAGACACGGUCCAAACUCCUACGGGAGGCAGCAGUGGGGAAUAUUGCACAAUGGGCGAAAGCCUGAUGCAGCAACGCCGCGUGAAGGAAGAAGG
rnacentral:rRNA from 1 species